AGCUGAAAAAGGCAAACCCGUCGAAAGGCGGGGACGCAAAGCCACCGGUCUAAGGGACUUGUUCCUACGACAGCGGGGCCGCCACU
rnacentral:ncRNA from 1 species